rnacentral:misc_RNA from 1 species
AGCAAAGCUCUUUUCCUUUUCUUUAUUCACUCCUCUUUUAUUCUCUCUUGGUCUUCUUCCUUCUCAUCGUCAAACUAGAAAAAACAGUAACCAAAACAAUUUAAUCUUCUUGUCUAUGGAUACCAAGAUUGGAUCUAUUGACACAUGCAAGCCCGCCAACGGCGACAUGUGCAGCCCAGCAAACGGUGCCAUUUCUACCAUCCAAAACUCUGUCUCACCCACUGUGUUCAACUCUCCUGACUCCACUCUCGGCCGCCACCUUGCUCGCCGGCUGGUUCAAAUCGGCAUCAAUGAUGUUUUCUCUGUUCCCGGUGACUUUAAUCUUACUCUCCUUGACCAUCUUAUUGCAGAGCCUGGGCUUAACCUCAUUGGCUGCUGUAACGAGCUGAAUGCAGGGUACGCUGCCGAUGGUUACGCAAGGUCACGUGGAGUUGGCGCUUGCGUUGUUACGUUUACUGUAGGUGGG